CUCUGCCAAGGUCUCUAUCGUCUGGAGCAUCCUGGCGUCGCUCGCGUCUUCAGUGGAGUUCGGGUAUCUCCGUCACAGUGGCAUGCUCGUCUUGGUCACCCGGCCACACCUAUUGUCCGGCAUGUUUUGCGUCGUCAUGAGCUUCCUAGUGUGUCUAGUAAUAAAGAUGUAGCAGUGUGUGAUGCUUGUCAGCAGGGGAAGAGUCAUCAACUUCCUUUUUCAGAGUCCAGUCGUGAGGUGAAACAUCCUUUAGAACUUGUGUUUUCAGAUGUAUGGGGUCCUGCUCAGACUUCUGUUAGUGGUCAUAAUUAUUAUAUCAGUUUUGUUGAUGCUUAC
rnacentral:rRNA from 1 species